CAAAGAAGUCUCCCUCAAGGACCGCGAGCUCAGGAUUGUGGGCGAGGUCGGUGCCAAGAUCCGAGUCUUAGACUUCAUUUCUCCCGAUGUCCAGGUUCUAAAUUUAAUGGUUUAAAAACCCGAAUUGAAGACGUAGCUGGAAGAAGAAGAAGAGGACGUGUAGUACUAAGGAAAAGAAAGCUGAGAAAGACACAAUUGUUUGUUACUCAAAAGGCGCUUGUAUCCUAAUUAUUUGGCGAGUUCUAUAUAAAGGGAAAAAAAUGAGCGAAUGCGAUGGUCUUGAAGUUAUUAGAAAUCCAAAGAGGCCUAUCGGCGCUUGGAUACAUUACUAUAACGAUCAAUUAGCCAUGAUGAAAGAGAAGGACAAAGGAGUGAAGAUAAAUGAUGAUGUAAGGAGUAAUUUUGCUACGUCUAAUAUAAUUACAUUUUAACAUUAGAAUUUAAAUUAUGUGACCAAUUACUGUAGUUGAGGAAAAAAUUGG